CCUCCGCCGUUUCCUCUCUUAUCUUUCGCGAUUUUGAAGCCGCCCUCACAUGACUUCGAAGUCGCCGGCCCUACUUCGGACUCUUCCGUCUUCCCCUCCCCACCGUGUGCCGACGCAGAAGACGUCUACCACAUUCCCAUCGUCACCAACCGCACGAGCCCUCUGCUACCUCCCUCGGCCGACAUGGGGUCUUCGUCCAACCCCUUCUCUAUUCAUCGUCGUCUUGGUGACCUAAGCAGGGCACUGCCCCGGCCGCCGCCAAGGACUUGAGAUCCUUGGCAGUCUUCUGACAGAGACCCGACCCUUGCCCUCAACACAGUCGAUGUCCGCACGCUCUGCCCUCAACGCAGCCGAAUUGGGUCACUUAUUAAUAAUGGAUUGGAUCUUCCUGGUCCCUUCGAUUCCUCUACGAGAGUUGGUUAAGGAUUUGAGUUCGAAGCAAACCCUCUGACUAGAUGGUUUGGACGCUCUACAUUUUCUACAUUUGAGGUGUCCUCAAAAGUACUAGGAAGAAUGCCGAAAAACUAAAAAAAAAGAAGAGACUUUAAUAAGUUAAGGAACACUAGGAGCUGCAGUGCUGCCUCUUCACCGACAUCCAAGCAGAAAAUCUCAUGUUAUAUUGCUCUACCUUUGUUUUAAUAGUGUUGUUAGUUAUCAUUUUGUUGGUUGCUUAUG